AGUCUUCUCUGCAGACACCAGCCUGGUGUCCUCCUUCAUCCCAGGCUGCCAGGCUAGGCAGGGGACAGCGGCUGCCCUGGUCCUCACAGCCCUGGCUACGGGGCUGGUGACAGCCAGAUCCUCAUGCUUCUGCGACCUGAGCGCUGCCUUCAGACACCUCUCUGCUGGCGUGUUCCUGGGUCCAUGAUGGAAGAAGGAAAAGUAUUUUUAAAAGACAAUCUGAAGCUCAUACUGUGACUGCAACAUAAAAUGUGUUCACCUGAGGAGACUGCUUUCAUCGCCAGUGUGUCACAGAUGGUGGAAACCUCAGAAGGCCACAGUCCAGAGUAGGGGCUUAAUGCAAGCUGCUGGAACUGAAUAAAGGUCUCUGAUGGUUCUGGUUUCCUGGGCACCUAGAAUAAGUGUGUCACCAUUUGUCCUGAAGCUGACUUCUCUGAGCUGGAUGGCACCCUGGACAUCAACCAGCCCUUCACCUUCACGUCACACAGGAGGGACACUGGUCCAUAGAGAGGAUGCCUGCUCUGGUCACCAGCUGGAGAGUGGCAGACCUUGGGUACCUGACCUUUGGACUCUGCCACACAGAGCACUUCCUCAGUCCCUCCUGCUGCCCCUGGCAGGGUGGAGCUGGCAGGGCAGCUGAUCCAGGACCGUCCACUUCCAAGCCAGCAGGAGGAUGGAAAAGCAGAAUGGAGGGGAAACAACCUCCUUUGCAGGGCGUGACUCGGAAGUUGGACACAUCAUUUCCAGCCACAUUCCAUGGACCAGA
rnacentral:lncRNA from 1 species